UCCCCCGCGGGUGGGCGGCGCCUGCCGACGCGCUGGUGGUCGCCCCGCCCGCGUGCGGCCAUCCCUCGGGCAGUGGGAGCCCGCCUGCAUCCUCGGGUCCCCGCUGCACCUCGCGCGGGCCCGGCUGGCCCACCGCCGGACUGUCCACCCUACCGCGGGCCCCGGCGAGCGGACCCCGCGCUCGCGGCCAGUUUGCCUCCCCCAAAAUGAGAAGAUUGGGGAGGCACUUCAAGGGCCGGAAGCCUGAAUCUGCCUGUGCCCCUGGCGGUAGGAUGAGCACCUGGCCGGCGGGCCUGUCAUCGCGGCUACUUCGGGAGCUACUCUCCCCCAGAUGGCAGAAACUAGCACCGGGUCCCACCGCGCUCACCUCACAGGCUCCCUCUUGGCGUCCAGAACCAAGCAGAAGCCACAAUCUAUGGAGAUCCAGUAACCUGUGACAUGAGAGAGGAAAGGCCCGCCUGUGGAUCUCGGGGUUCUGUAUGGCACCCAGAGACAGCUCACCAGACAGAUCAUCAUUCGUGGGGCUUGGCUAAUUUCUGCAGGGACUCAGUUUGGCAAAAGCCAUCCCCUUUGGAUUUCUAGAAAGGCACUCUGGGACCCCAGGUCCGAAACCAUCCUCUAGAGAAACAUGGUAUGCGUGCAUCAAUCCAGAGCCUAAGAAUACCUCAUCAGAAGUGGUGUAGUUCUAUUUACAGAGGCAGUGAAGGAGAUGGUUCUCCUCUGAAAACCUGCUCUGCAAAAGUCCAGAAGUAGGUGAGUAGCUUGUGGUCAUCAUUAACGUCAAGCCGUCUAAAAUGACAUUCUACACUACGAUUGCGAAAGAUGGUGGGGAAGGUAACAGUGAGUGAGGAGUCUAUACAGGGGCAUCGCUGGAAGCCUCUGAGGUAUGAGGUAGAAUAACUACCAAGGGACUACUUUUGGCCACCAUGAUGCUCUUUGAAUGAACUUUGCCUUCGCUACACGAAGAGCUAAGAUAUGUUUUCAUCUUUACUUCUUUAAAGAAACCUCCACCUAAGGCUCAGCACGAUGCAGGAAAUAUGUUAAGCAUAUUGAACAGCCAAGAUGCCACAGGCACCGAUCAAUGAGAAGAGGUGAUGAACUAUAAGAGAUGGUUCGGCUGAACUGGUGCUGACCAGCUGACUCUCAGCCCUACCUGUUGGGACGGUGCGUUCUCUCUUCACUCAAGAGACAGUAUUCAACGUCCGGUGCAAGACAAUCAGAGGCUCGUCUAGGCCAGUGGCUCUCAAAGGGGGGCAACCUUUGCCUUCCAGAAGCCAUUUACAACGUCGAGAGACAUUUUUGCUUGCGGAAGGGCACAACUGGCAUCUAGCAGGCAGAGGCCAGGGGUCCUACUGACCACCCGACAAUGCAUGGGGCAACCCCUGCAACAAAGAAUUAUCUGGCGUAAAACGUCCACAGUGGGGCGGGUGAGAGAGCCUGCUCCAGGUAACACCUUCAGUCUCAGUGACAGGUACCCGUGCUCUGGAUUAUAACAAAGCUCUUGCAGAUGGGCUUGUUGGCAAGUUCCUAUCAGCUUGUCAAGUCGGGGGCGUGCUGUUAGUUCACAGUGAAAAGCCAUAUGUAAAUACUACUGCUCCUGUGGCUUUUUCUCCACUAAGCCUCUUAGGAGUCAAAGAAUAAAAGAGGCACGGAUAAAGUCAUUCCUCUGCUAUUUCCUUGUAUCAGUGGAGCAUGCAUUAGGUGAAAACUAUUGAUGAUUAGAGUAAUAAUGAACAGUAGCCUUUAUGGAGUCAUACUAUGAUGUGCCAGGCACCACACAGGGGGCUCUCAGGCUUUAUCUCAACUCUUACAGCAGCUCAUUAGAUUUCCCUUUUAUUAGAUGAGGAAACUGAGGCCCGGAGAGCUUGCUUACCUGCCGAGAGGCCCGGAGAUGGCUCUGUCUCUACCAUCUGUGUUCUCGGUCACUGCACUGUGCUCGUUGCCUUGACAGCCCACCCUCCUAGCAGGAAAGCUCAGUGCAAGAUGCAAACGGGGACUUCCCUGGUGGCGCAGUGGUUAAGAAUCCGCCUGCCAAUGCAGGGGACACGGGUUCGAGCCCUGGUCCAGGAAGUACUCUUGGACACAUCAUAUUAGUUAAUAAUUAGUUAAUUAUCAUCAUCUCAUCAAACCAUCACCUUAUUGAAUACUCCCAAAGAUAAAUCUUUGUGUUCUUGUUAACCAGUUCCCUAAAAUAGUAGGAGACCGAGGAUAAUCUGUCCCUGACUUCUUCCUUGGAGAUUCGUGUUUCCACAAGUCACAGCCAGCCGUAGUUUUAAAUGGUCAAAAACAGAAACAACGACUUCUCUGUGUCAGUCAAGAAUCACUCAAUUGCAGGUAAUCCAUACCUGAUUCAAACAACUCUAGGAAAUCUUUUAAAUUUAUUAUUACAUAACUGCAAAGUUUAGGAUUUGCCAGAUGUACGUAUGCCUGGAGCUAGGUUUUCAAAAUAUAUCUCGGUCUCUCUAUCUCACAGUUUUCCUGAUGGCUGUAUUCUUUGCCAAAUCUCUCCAUUGGUAAAAGCAGUGGUUUUUG